rnacentral:lncRNA from 1 species
AACACUGAACAUGUUUUUAUUGUUUUCAGUUUUUAGACCCCCAACUCUGGGUCUGAUGCUAUGACUACUUUUGGAGCUCCAUUUCCCUAAGGAGGUCUCUGAAGACUAUAUAUUAUUUCAGGAAUUUCAAUGUUAUGGAUGUAAAGCAUUAUCAUCACAUUAUCUUCAUGACUGUCCUGUACUUUCAAUUUUGGGGGAGGAGAAUUAUACUUCAAACUCAAACACUUCCGGGUAAACACGGCUGCAAUCUAGACUCGACUCACUUCCCCUCCCCAGCACCAAACGAAAUAGACUACCUCAAAAGAGCAUAAAAAUCACCUUUGGAAGAACGGAGGACUCUCCAGUACCCCACAGAAACGAAGCUAGCUUCUGAAAAAGUACCAGGCUGAAGAGUGUGUGAAACUGAUCACCUCGCUGGGGGAGGGGCCCCCCAAGGAAUUGGAAUCUUGAGGAGGAGAAGAUUCUGGCUGGGAGAAGAAUUGGUCUCUCAGUCAGGAGAAGCCAAAGAGACAAGGUUGAAAAAGACUUUCUGCUGAGAGUUACUCACUUUUCCUGCUUGUGACUGGAAAUCCUUCCCCCUAAUAUUUCCAAAUUGAAAAAGACUACUGAAGAAGAAACCUGAAAAAAGACAUUUUAAAUCUCUGUCCAACUUUACUUCAGCUCCUGUUGCCCUAAGUCUGAACUGUGGCCAAGGGGCCAAAUGCAAGGUGAGUUGACCUGACUUUUUCUCAGGGGGCUCAGGCUGCCAAGGCUUGAGUUCCCCCCAAACACAAGGAGGGAGGGAAAAGGGUUUUAGAUAGAGACAGGGACCCCUUUUCCUCACUUUACUCUCCCAUUCUUUCCCUGCUAGUUAUUCCUUUGUAUUACCUUGAUUGAGUUGACAUUAAAAUAGUUAACUUUUCCCCAAGUUGUGUGUGAGUGAACAGAUCAAGGGGAGUGCCUUUGGUCUCUGGUAGUGGAGGGGGAACAAGAGGGACAAGAGUGAAUCUGGGAGAGCAGCCUUAGCUAAGGAGGGAAGACAGAAGAGGGAAAAUCUUCAAAUCCCCUCUUUUCUCUCUGAGCCAAGCCUAAAUAAACAUCAGCUAUCUCUCCUGAACCCCA